UAAAAUAUGAUACAGGUGAAUUUAUUUGCAAAACAGAAGCAGACUCACAGACAUAGAAAACAAAGGAGAAAGGGAGGGGAUAAAUUCGGAAUUUGGGGAUAACAGAUACUCAUACAUAUAAAAUAGAUAAGCAAUAGGACCUAUUGUAUAGCACAGAGAACUAUAUUCAAUAUACUGUAAUAACCUACAAUGGAAAGCAGUCCAAAAAAGAAUAUAUGUUACAGAAUCACUUUGUCAUACUCCUGAAACAAGCACAACAUUGUAAAUCAACUAUACUUCAGUUUUUUAAAAACACAGAUUCCUGAGCUCCUUCAUUGAGCUAUUUAAUCCGCAUUUCUCGGGGUGGCCUGGAACUCUGCAUUUUAAACAGUGCACAGGGUUAUCCUCAGGGACGCCGAGGUUUAAGAACCAUCGAUGCCAAAAAAAAAGGAGAGUGAAAGCAAAACAUAGUCAAGGGCGUCAAACAGGCUCCCCCUCCAAGAGCUAAUUUAGAGGUUUAACUCCGAAGAGCUUUCUUUGUAUGGCAAAUCCAGAGGGUCCUUCUCAUUUGUACAUUUCCUUCCCUCCCUCAUUCAUUUCUUCCCAGAGUUACUUUUUUUCAAACUUCCGAGCUCUUCACAACGACUGAUCAAUGAACUUACACAUGAAAGACACACUUAAACUCUUCUCAUCUCCUUUCAUCCCCUCCACGGCAAAUGCCCUUUCAUCUUCUCAGACAUUCCAAAAUGUGGCAAAAAAGAUGGCUCUUGCAACAGACGCAAUUCUUUCUAGGUCUCUAGUUUGCAGGUCCCCCUAACAAUCUGCGGCAAUUUCCCAACCAGCUGUUGGUGUCCUAGGGCCCGGUGCUUUGUCUCCGUUUUCUUGAGCUAUCAAAUCAUCCUAUAAAGGGGAUUACCUGAGGGCUGUUGUUUCCCAGGUUUGUAUUUAGCGGCCGGUUUGUUGUUUUGUUCUUGUUUUUGUUUUCUUAAGAUGCUUCAUUGGAUGGAAAGGGUGCUUAAAAAAUUGCCGUGGCCCCGAACAGUGAGGCUCAGGCCAAGUGGCAGAAGGUGCUUCCAGUAAUGGGCGCUUCCCUUUCUUCCCAAUUAAUAGCCUCAAACCUAAGCCUGGAUCUGUUAAAAUAGAGCUUGAUUUUUUUCAGGUGUUUGUGAAGGUUUGCAUAGACUCU
rnacentral:lncRNA from 1 species